UUGAGAGAAACGGCUACCACUUCCAAGGAAGGCAGCAGGCGCGCAAAUUACCCAAUCCCGGCACGGGGAGGUAGUGACGAAAAAUACGGAUACGGGACUCAAUAGAGGCUCCGUAAUUCGAAUGAGUACAAUUUAAAUCCUUUAACGAGGAUCAACUGGAGGGCAAGUCUGGUGCCAGCAGCCGCGGUAACUCCAGCUCCAGAAGCGUAUAUUAAAGUUGUUGCAGUUAAAAAGCUCGUAGUUGGAUCUGGGUCGCAUGGCUACGUGCCGUCACUUGUAUUCCAGGCCUGGCUACGGUCGGGUCCGGUUUGUGAGUCGGUUUCGUGGCUGUGUAGCCUUUCAGUCGUGUCUGUUUCGACAGGUGCCGAUGGUUUUAUCCGUUGGCAUGCUUCCAGAUGCCUUUAACCGGGUGUCGGGAGCGGACGGCUAGUUUACUUUGAACAAAUUUGAGUGCUCAAAGCAGGCUUAUGCCUGAAAAUUCUUGCAUGGAAUAAUGGAAUAGGACUUCGGUUCUAUUUUGUUGGUUUUCGGAUCCGAAGUAAUGGUUAAGAGGGACAGACGGGGGCAUUUGUAUGGCGGUGUUAGAGGUGAAAUUCUUGGAUCGCCGCCAGACAAACUACAGCGAAAGCAUUUGCCAAGGAUGUCUUCAUUGAUCUUGAGCGAAAGUCAGAGGUUCGAAGACGAUCAGAUACCGUCCUAGUUCUGACCAUAAACGAUGCCAACUGACGAUCCGUGGGUUUACUUUGAGUGACCCCACGGGCAGUCCCCGGGAAACCUUUAAGUCUUUGGGCUCCGGGGGAAGUAUGGUUGCAAAGCUGAAACUUAAAGGAAUUGACGGAAGGGCACCACCAGGAGUGGAGCCUGCGGCUUAAUUCGACCCAACACGGGAAAACUCACCCGGCCCGGACACUGUGAGGAUUGACAGAUUGAUAGCUCUUUCUUGAUUCGGUGGUUGGUGGUGCAUGGCCGUUCUUAGUUGGUGGAGCGAUUUGUCUGGUUAAUUCCGAUAACGAACGAGACUUUGGCCUGCUAAAUAGUAUGCCUGUCCUCUGUACUCGUGCGGGUAGCGGUGUUCGUCGCCUCUUCGGGGGUGGUGAUACUGUUGCCGGCGGGUGCUGCGCAGGUGUUUACUUCUUAGAGGGACAAGCGGAAUAAUCCGCACGAAAAUGAGCAAUAACAGGUCUGUGAUGCCCUUAGAUGUCCGGGGCCGCACGUGCGCUACAAUGACGGUUUCAGCGAGUAUGGAAUCCUGGCCCGAAAGGGUUGGGCAAACUGAAUCAUAACCGUCGUGACUGGGAUCGGGGCUUGCAAUUGUUCCCCGUGAACGAGGAAUUCCUGGUAAGUGCAAGUCAUAAGCUUGCGCUGAUUACGUCCCUGCCCUUUGUACACACCGCCCGUCGCUACUACCGAUUGAAUGGUUUAGCAAGGCUUUUGGAUCGGUGCCACUUUAGUUGCUUCGGCAGCUUGACCGGUGCUGAAAAGAUGACCAAACUUGAUCAUUUAGAGGAAGUAAAAGUCGUAACAAGG
rnacentral:rRNA from 1 species